rnacentral:tRNA from 1 species
GGCCCGUAGCUCAGCUAGGCUAGAGCGACAGAAACCAAACCUGCUGGUCGAGGGUUCGAAUCCCUCCGGGCCCACCA